rnacentral:rRNA from 1 species
GAUGAACGCUAGCGGGAGGCCUAACACAUGCAAGCCGAGCGGUAGAGUCUCUUCGGAGACUUGAGAGCGGCGCACGGGUGCGGAACACGUGUGCAACCUGCCUUUAUCUGGGGGAUAGCCUUUCGAAGGGAAGAUUAAUACCCCAUAAUAUACUGGAUGGCAUCAUCUGGUAUUGACAACUCCGGUGGAUAGAGAUGGGCACGCGCAAGAUUAGAUAGUUGGUGAGGUAACGGCUCACCAAGUCAGCGAUCUUUAGGGGGCCUGAGAGGGUGAUCCCCCACACGGGUACUGAGACACGGACCAGACUCCUACGGGAGGCAGCAGUGAGGAAUAUUGGACAAUGGGUGAGAGCCUGAUCCAGCCAUCCCGCGUGAAGGACGACGGCCCUAUGGGUUGUAAACUUCUUUUGUAUAGGGAUAAACCUAGAUACGUGUAUCUAGCUGAAGGUACUAUAAGAAUAAGCACCGGCUAACUCCGUG